GACGAACGCUGGCGGUGUGCUUAACACAUGCAAGUCGAACGAAGUGGCGAACGGGUGAGUAACGCGUAAUAAACCUGCCCUUCAGAGGGGGACAACAGUUGGAAACGAAUGCUAAUACCGCAUACUGAAGGAGGGGUUUGCGUCUGAUAAGCUAGUUGGGGGGGUAACGGCCCACCAAGGCGAGGAUCAGUAGCCUGUCUGAAGGGAUGAACCGCCACAAUUGGACUGGGAAACGGGCCAGACUCCUACGGGAGGCAGCAGGGGGGAAUCUUCCGCAAUUGACGGAAGUCUGACGGAGCAAAGGCGCUUGGGUUAUGACGGCCUUCGGGUUGGAAAGCUCUGUUAAUCGGGACGCGGUACCGGAAUAGAAAGCCACGGCUAACUACGUGCCAGCAGCCGCGGUAAUUC
rnacentral:rRNA from 1 species